rnacentral:lncRNA from 1 species
ACCUAUCAUUCUUGUACGUACAAGACGAAUAAAUCGCCUGGCCAGCGAUAUGCAAUUAUAUCAAACAAUCUACGACCAAACUUUGUAAACUUUAGCGUAAGACAUCACGAUACACUUACCCCGAAAGAGAAUGUUAUUGAUCGGUACCCUCUCAACGGGGGGAGUAUGUACGAUCGGAAUUAAUCGUAACCAAAAUCGAUAUUCAUAAUACGCGCCCUAGUCGAUAGAGAGUUACUAGACACUAGCGUCCAUAUCCCCACCACUCGACCCUCGAGUGCGUGCACCCUGCAGGGCCCAUUACCAAAGACAUUCGGGCUAUUCCAUCGCUGGACGCCUACGAGGAUAAUUGGAGAUAACGAGCGAGAGCAUUAUUAGAAGGGCAAAGAAUUCACAUACUAGACAGAGGCGAUAAUUAACGAUAAGUAUGCGGUUCUACACUUUUUAUUCCAUAUACAAAAACUGUAAAACAUCCAAGAAAAAGACUCCACUACAGCAUCGGAUUUAUGCAUAUAAAUUUCAUUUUCAAUGGUUCACGAUAUAAAGAUUUCUUUCAACUAAUGUUUCCUCCGUAAAGAGUCUAUGUGAAUUAUUAUGCGAAUAAAAAAUGUAGCUGCAGUUACAAGGAAUAAUCAAUAUCAGAAUCUGUUAAAAAAGAGAAAGCGUAUAACUUUCAACAACAAUGAGAAGAAGCUAACAACACUGCAAUCAUGAUAGAUUUUGGAAGAUACCGCCUUCUUUUUACGUCUAAUGAGAGAAAAUCAAAUCUAUUAAUAUUCUAUCAAAGGAAGUGAAGAAAGAACGCAUCUUAGUUAUUAUAAAUUUGAAAAACUAAUA